AUUGCCGAUGCUAAGAUUGUACUUUGUUGUGCUGUAAGUUUAUUUUGGGUUACCUGAAUAAUACCUGGAUUACCAAAACUGUGAAAAUAAAGUACUUUGAUGAUAAAGUUAUAAUUUUUUAAAUCUUCAUAAAUUUAUGUGAACAAGUUUUUUCUUUUCUAUUCAAAGUAGAUAGUGUUUGCCCUACAAAAACUGUUAUGCCUUAAAUUUUGUUUUCUGGUUCCCGCAUUCUCCUUUCUCUGUCAUGUUAUCUCCUCCAUGAACAACCUACAAGCACUGAAUACCUUCAUCUUCUCUGGACUCCUCCUUCCUUAGCAAAACGCGGAAAUCUGAUAUCAGUCUUUUAUUCUUGUUUUUGGAUUUCACCUUAGUAUGAUUAAGUUUCUGUCUAUAUUUUACCUUUUCCAGCUUUAUGCUUUUUAUUUCUGGUUGGGAAAUGAAAAGUUCUUCUCUUCUGCUAAAGGAAUUUCAAGCAUCAUUAAGCAUCAAGGACGUCUUUCUGGAAUGGGACAACUCCUUUUCAGGUACACAGGAUCCUCGUCUUAUAUCUCAUCCCUGUUAUCACUCAACCUUCGCCCUUCAUCAAACCCACUCUCAGGAAAGCAGAUUUAGAAUUUGUGUGAAAUCAAGUUAACAGUAUUACCUUUCCCAGGUAUGUUUGCAAUUUGAGGUUUUUAUUGCAAGUUGUGGACCCCUGCCCCUGUUAAACGCAUUACAGACAAUUCCAGAAUUUUCUGGAAAAGGGCCCAUGGAGCCAGGAUCUUAUAGGCAGAAUCCUGGAAGAGAGCCACAUCCUCAGGCCUUAAGGGCUGACCUUACAGUUCUCAAGGCCAAU
rnacentral:lncRNA from 1 species